AGUAAAGUGCCUGAAGAAAAGGGCUAUCUUGAUGGGAUAGAUCAUGGCCUGGCUGGCCCUUUACUA
rnacentral:tRNA from 1 species